AACGCACAUUGCGCCCAUUAGCAUUCUAGUGGGCAUGCCUGUUCGAGCGUCAUUUCAACCCUUAAGCCCUCGUUGCUUAGUGUUGGGAGCCUGCGGCAUUCGCAGCUCCCCAAAGUCAGUGGCGGAGCCGGUUUCACGCUCUAGACGUAGUAGAUUCUUUCUCGUCUACAGCUGGGCCGGUCCCCUGCCGUAAAACACACCAAUUCUUCAAGGUUGACCUCGGAUCAGGUAGGAAUACCCGCUGAACUUAA
rnacentral:misc_RNA from 1 species